CAGCAGCCGCGGGAAUACGAGGGGGGCAAGCGUUGUUCGGAAUUAUUGGGCGUAAAGGGUGCGUAGGCGGCUUGACGAGUCUUGUGUGAAAUCUAUGGGCUCAACCCAUAGUCUGCACGGGAAACUGUCGGGCUUGAGAAUGGGAGAGGUGAGUGGAAUUUCCGGUGUAGCGGUGAAAUGCGUAGAUAUCGGAAGGAACACCAGUGGCGAAGGCGGCUCACUGGACCGACACUGACGCUGAGGCGCGAAAGCGUGGGGAGCAAACAGGAUUAGAUACCCGCGUAGUCCCUGUCUCUUAUAC
rnacentral:rRNA from 1 species